rnacentral:rRNA from 1 species
UACGUAGGGGGCUAGCGUUGUCCGGAAUCAUUGGGCGUAAAGCGCGUGUAGGCGGCUCGGUAAGUCCGCUCUGAAAGUCCAGGGCUCAACCCUGGGAUGCGGGUGGAUACUGCCGGGCUCGAGUCCGGAAGAGGCGAGUGGAAUUCCCGGUGUAGGCGGUGAAAUGCGCAGAUAUCGGGAGGAACACCAAUGGCGAAGGCAGCUCGCUGGGACGUGACUGACGCUGAGACGCCGAAAGCGUGGGGAGCAAACAGGG